UCCUCCCUGACGGUGACAGUGAAGGACAUGGUUUAUUUGGACUAAAUAUCUUCAACCUGCCUGACUAUUUAAUAAUUGACCAUUUGUGUGCGUUUUUUAUUUCUUCAGUUUGUAAGUACUGUGUAAAUACACUUUAAAGGUGACUUCGCAUUUUAGCUCUUUGAGGGAAUGUUUUUCAGUCCACACCAGCUGUAAAGUGGAUGAUGCAGGUCACUUUUGCUUUUGUAUUUUACUAUAUGUGUUUGAGGCAUGUUUCAAAUGUAUAAUUUAAAGGUGUCCAGCUGCUUUACACCCUCUGGCUGCACUGGUAAUGUUCCUCCCAGGCCUGGUGGGUGUCAGGAGAGACUGGUCUGGUUUUUCAAAACUAUACUUGUGAACAAACAGGCAGUUAACAGCAGCUUUGUGUCAGCUUGGCUGCAGGAUGUAAGGUCUGAACUGGCCUCAAUGGGGUUUCAAAGUUCCUCCCUAGCGCCGAGCGCCAUCUACUGGUCUGUUGAAGGAAGUGCUCUAACGAGAACAAUUUAUAACUUGAACUAUGAGAAAAUAUAUCAAAAAGUGGAGCGUCUUAUUUGAGCAGUUUGAGCAGUGCUGAAACAUCAGGGACAUUGGAAAACGGUCCCUGGGGAAGCAUCAGGCAAACCACUGAGGAGUGGAUUGUUUCCACUGGAAACACCAACGUCAGCCCUGAUCAAACACAAACAAUCGUCAAUGUAUUACACACGAAAUAGAUUUUAGUGUCGUUUAGUUUCACUGAAGAUACUGUCUUCAUCGCCAGGUAGAAAUGUCUGAGCCCCCAAAAUAACAAUGACACCAAAAACCACCAUUCCUUUUUUUUAUGUUUUAAUUGCUGUAGGUUUGAAUAUGGUCCUGAAGGUAAAAACUGGCUUCACGCGAAUCUAACAAGACACAUUAAAAGGCGUGCUGAGCCUCAAGGAUCAGACUUUUACAGCUGUUCCUCCUGCUUUUGUUCCGCGAGGUCUUAUAUUAUGAUCUGAGUUAAAGUGACGGUUUGAAGGCAUCUGUCAUUAUCUGGGCACUUCCUUAUCUUAACCGUGACAAGCUCUGCGCUCUGCUCAGACCGAGCGUCUUUACGCAGGAUCCUCCCAGUGCGAUGAGGCAAAGUCCAGACGACGGACGGACGGACGCUCCGUCCCACGCGGAGCCGGUCCGGGACGCGAUGCCGCCGCAGGGACGCGUCUCUCCGCUCAAGAACUUCAUCGCUGGAGGCAUCGGCGGCGCGUGUCUGCUUCUGGCCGGACACCCGCUGGACACCAUCAAGGUGAGGCUACAGACGCAGCCCAAAGCCUCCGCCUCCUGCCUCCUCUACACGGGAACCUAUGACUGCUUCCGCAAGACGGUGUCCAGAGAGGGCUUCCUCGGCCUCUAUAAAGGUCUGGGGGCUCCGCUGGCGGGAGUCGCUCCCAUGAUGGCCAUCAGCUUCUUCGGCUUCGGUCUUGGAAAGCAGCUUCAGCAGCCAGAUCCUGGCAAACCCCUAACGCACAUGCAGAUCUUCAUGUCCGGCUGUCUGGCAGGAGUGUUCACCACCGUCAUCGUGGCUCCAGGAGAACGGGUCAAAUGUUUACUUCAGGUGCAGGCUGCUGGUGGAGACAGGAAGUACUCAGGACCACUGGACUGUGUGGUCAGACUGUACAAGGAGCAGGGCCUCCGCAGCGUAUACAGAGGAACCGUUCUUACUCUCAUCAGAGAUGUGCCUUCUAACGGUCUCUACUUUCUCACAUAUGAAUAUCUCAAGAACGUCUUUACUCCUGAGGGUCAAAGUGUCUCUCAGCUCAGCACUCUGAACAUCCUUCUGGCUGGAGGUGUUGCAGGGUUAGUGAACUGGACCAUUGCACUCCCCCCAGAUGUCCUUAAAUCCAACUUCCAGACAGCUGCAGAGGGACAGUACAGGGGUCUGCUUGAUGUCCUGAGGACUCUGCUUCGAGACGAAGGCCCCUCAGCUCUGUAUAAAGGCUUUAAUGCCGUCUUCCUUCGAGCCUUUCCUGCCAACGCAGCCUGCUUUCUGGGGUUUGAGGUGGCGUUGAAGGGGCUGAACAUCCUCGCACCCAGCUGGUAAAUCAGCUGGUCCUGAAGAGUCUAAGUGUUUGGACCUCGUUUGCCAAAGCGUCUGUGCUGAGUCGUAUUCAUGGAGCUGACAUGAAGAGAAUCCUAUAUGGAACUGAAUCUAAUCUUAUUUAACAAAUCAUGCACAUGUUGGAAACUCUUCUACAGUGAAAGUAUAUGUAUGACUGGGAUAAUGAAUUGAUGUUUGGAUGUGAAUUCUUUUAGCAGCAUUGGUUGAAUAUGACUUGAGCUGGACUCAUAAAGGUACUGACAAGCUUCACAAAUGUAGUAACAAAGUAAGAAAAGAUGAAGAGGAAACUACAGACAUUGACCAUAUAUACUGUGUUUGAAAUAUUAAGCCUGUAUUUGACAGGAAAUACCUCCACAUCACAAGACCAACGUAUUUUACCUGGAAGGAGCAGACAUGUCCCAGAUGACUAACACCAGUCAAAUGAAACUAUUAGUGUCAGUAGCACUGGAAGCGUUUGUAUGUUGACGCCAAAGCAAAGAGCUCAAAGAAAGGUAAUGCUUUAAUCACUUGGAGAAGAGGAACUAUACUAUAAUUUCACCAGGUGUUAAACCUUGAGGAUUAUUCACAGGCCUAACAAACACGCAAGGCUCCAGGUUGUGAUGCCUCCAAAUAUCAUUUACAUCACAAUUAGACAUGUUUUUACAUUCUUAAACAACUCAAAGACACAAUUUUGAGCAGCUAUUGAGACGUUAUUCAGUACUGACAUUAUUGGUUAUUAUUGUUGGCUGCCAGCGUACAGAUGCUGCUUAGACAUGUUUUCUGCUCACAAUGAGGUGAAAUGAGACUCAUAUACUAUUAAACACAGGUGCUGAGAAUCUCUAAAUAUUUUUUUGAUGUUUAAAAGAAAACAAUAUAGAUAGAAUCCUGCUUGUAAACUGCCCACAGACCUUUUACACAGAGCUUUACCAUGUGUACAUAAACAUUUAAAAGGCAAUGAAAAGCAUAAGAUAUUGGAUUUGUUCGUUAGUUUUUACUGUUACCGUUUUAUAUUUUUGCUUUGAUGAUGAUGAUGACGAUGAUGAUGAUGUUCUUUUGUAAUGAAUGUAAGUUAAAAUGUUCAAUAAAAGUUAAAGAGGGUUUUUAAAGAAGCUCCCCUGCGUUUUUAAAAGCUAACCUUUGACCCCCGUACAGCAUCCAUUACCCAUGGUUCCAUUCUGUAAAUGCAUAGAUGAGUUAUUGACUUCAUUAAGGAUGUAACGAAAUUUGGCCAUCGUUAUAAAUAUUUAUGCUUUCUUAAACGAAAGAAAUCACUAGAAACGCACAUUGGACCAAUCUGGGUUAACUCUGGAUAGGUUUCAAAGGUUUAGCUGAAAAAAAAUACAAUCCCCAUGAUCCAGUGCGUGGCGUUCACUUCCGGGGACGGUGGCGGUCAGCUGAAGUUCGUGUGAGGCUGCCGCGAUGCCCCUGGAGGUCAAAUGGCCGUUCCCACGGUGCCCGGCUCUGUCGUGGAGGAUCUCCAGCUCACUGAUCAUGGGCAUGGUGGGGUCCUAUUCCUACUUCUGGACCA